rnacentral:rRNA from 1 species
CCUACGGGAGGCAGCAGUGGGGAAUCUUGCACAAUGGAGGAAACUCUGAUGCAGCGAUGCCGCGUGAGUGAAGAAGGCCUUUGGGUUGUAAAGCUCUUUUGUAGGGGAAGAUAAUGACUGUACCCUAAGAAUAAGGUCCGGCUAACUUCGUGCCAGCAGCCGCGGUAAUACGAAGGGACCUAGCGUAGUUCGGAAUUACUGGGCGUAAAGCGCGCGUAGGCCGUUGAGUUAGUUAAUUGUGAAAUCCCAAAGCUUAACUUUGGAACUGCAAUUAAAACUGCUCGACUAGAGUUUGAUAGAGGAAAGCGGAAUACAUAGUGUAGAGGUGAAAUUCGUAGAUAUUAUGUAGAACACCAGUUGCGAAGGCGGCCUUCUGGAUCAACACUGACGCUGAGGCGCGAAAGUAUGGGUAGCAAAGAGGAUUAGACUACCCUCGUAGUCCAUACCAUAAACGAUGAUUGCUAGUAUAGUUAGGUAAAGUUUAAUUUUACUUAGUAUACGUACACGACUAACGUACUAUUAAGUACUAACUACCGUCCGUCGGGGUACGGUACGGACCGACCGAAACGGUUAAAACGUUAAAACGUUAAGUAAGUUAGUACGGUCGUGAGACGUCGACCGAACGGACGACCGACGAGGGAGGUAGG